CUGCUUGCCCUCUCUCUUCUUCCUCCUCCUCUCGCCUCUCCCCUCCCUUCUCCGCCCAGCGACUCCUUUGUGCGUUCCUCCAGCCCUCACCUCGGCCUCUCCUAUCCCAAUUAGUCAGUUUCAAGGGGGCCCCCGCCGGCGGCCCCGCCCUCCUCUCAGCCCCCCAAAAAAGGGAUCCUUGAAACCGCCCCGUCGAGCUCAAGCACCAUCCCAAAAUGUGCUCUCGGCCAAUCAGAUUUAAACCCCAGGACCAGCCCCGAGGGCUGGAUUGGUCGACCACAACAUAAUGAGAUCAGAAACCAGAUGCCAACAAAACUUUCCCCCCCUCCUUUUGCUUUUUAAAGAGACAAGCUAUUAUUAUAUUAAGGGCUGUUUGCCUAGCACGGGAUUUCUCCGGAGUCGCGGCGGCGAGAUCCGGAGACACACAUUCCCCAGAACUGCGGCAGACCCAAGCCACUCGGCCCUGGAUCACUCUUCUUCUGGGGGGCUAAGGCGCUCUCUCGGUACAAACCAAGUCCUCCCAGCAUGGUGACCUGUUUCCUGCCCCAAUCUAGAAAAGGGUUGCUUUACAAACAAAACAGAAACAACAACAAAAGAAAUUUGAGAGAAAGAAAGAAGAAAGGAAUAGACAGGAGAUUACAAAAAAAAAAUUCUAAGGAGAUACAUACAACAGAUCCAGGUUUGACAGGAUUCGAUUUUUUUUUUUUCCUGGAUUGAAUGAUAAACAGAUUUUCAAGUUCUUUAUAAUGUGAAAAUGUUCCUUGUUGUAUCCUGGAGAAGUUGCCUUUUCACUGCUUUAGGAAGAAUAUUUUCCUUCAAAAUCAGGGGGAUGCGCUUUUUGUUCUCCAUUCCAUUUCCAGUUGACCCCCAAAUCCACUUGGAUACAGAGCGGUCUGGGGAGGAGAAAGUUGUACUCUGGGGGCCCAAACCACACCUGAGGCGCUCCUCCUUCAGAUCUCCCCCUCCCUGUGUAUCCCUGCUUCUCUAGAGCUGGGACCAAGCCUCUGAGCUGAGUAGGGAAGACAAAAAUGAGUAAGACAAGCUCCUACUCUCCAUGCAGGAAGCUCACCGUCUGAUAGGAAAUUGGGAGUCAAUCUCCAAUAGAAAUGCAGCAUCUUCAAUUUCCUUCCGUGACAAACCUGUUUUCCUGCCCUGGGGCCAGUUUUGAGUGACAGUUUUCCCUUCCCCAGCCACCCCCACAAAGGCGGGGCUGGAGGUGGAAAAAAGAAAUCACAGGCAUUCUUUCAUUCACUCAGAAAAGCAUUUGUUCCUUCAACACACUUUUAUCGAGUCUUUUCCUCAUUUCAAACCACUGUGGUAGGUGCUGCGGGCGAUGCGCAGGAAAAUGGCACCAUCCCUGCGCUUCAAGAGUUUCUGGCAUCCGGGAAGAAUAGUCAUUCCACUGCGACCUUGCAUUUAUCUAGCGUUUCUACAUGAAAUAAGAAGUCACGAUAUUUCAUGAUUACUCUUGCCUUUUCAUGUGAGGAUCUGGAGUGUGAACAGGACCAGAACUUACAUCUUCGGAUUUCAGGUCUACCCACCGCACUUCCCGCGCCACAAACGCACCGCUCAGCAGCGGGAGAUCUGUAACUAAAGGAAAUGAACAGAUUCUCUCAGUGUAAACUCUAGAUGAUGUCAUUUGAUGGAUACAACACGUAAUUCUGAUUUUUUUUUUUUUUUUUUGUAAUUAGCUGAGGCACUGACUGACCUGGACCUGACCCCUAACUUGUCUGGUCAUUUGACUUCUUUGAACCUCAGGUUCGCCAUCUGCAAAGUGGGAAUGAGCCAGCGAUUUUUAAAAUAUGAGACUACACAUCCAAAGUAAUUUCAGAAUGACAGGAAUACAUUUUACAAUCGCGAAGAACUUUUCAAAACAUGAAGUUACAUGAAUUGAAUAUUCAUUCAGCAAACAUCCUUGGGUACACAAGGUAACUACUACCAUUUCUUGAGCUUCUACUGAGCACUGAGCAUGCAUUAUGUUGCAUGGUGUUUAUCGAAGAAGAAUCUACAAUUAAAAUAAACAUUCCUUCCUUCCUUCAUUCAUUCAAGAUGAAGACUCUGACCUUAGGUGAGAUUGGACAGCUUUCUCAAGGUCACAACGUAAGUGUCAGAGCUGAGAUUUAAACCCAGGCCUGCUUGGCUCUUAAAGCUGUGUUGUCUCCUACACCACACAGCCCCUAAUGUCUUCCAAGAAUUGUGUGCUUUUAUGCACUUAACAACUGGGAAUCGAUCACCAAACCCAACCCCUGUUCCUGCGGAGCUUACAUUCUAGUGGGAGAGGGAGACACUCACAUUCAUCACACAGUCACUUAAAUGGAUGCAAAAUUGCCACAGGAUUCCUUGCUGUGGAGGGAAAGCCUGUGCUGAGGCAGCAUAAUACAGGAGGGAAUCGGACUGAGUUGGGGAGGGUGGAGGAGGACUGAGUAAUAGUGAGGAGUAAAACAGAAGGAGGUAAAGAGAGCCUGGAUCUACAGGGCCUUACAGACCAUGUGUAAGGUGCUAGGUAUAGAAGUAUGAACCCACCAUCUCAAGGUGGGGAUAGGCAUUCCAGACAGAGGGAAUGGCACGUGCAAGGGCAGGACGGGGUCAAACGGAUGGAAUGGGCAGGCAGCACAAGUAUACACAAAUUUGGCCCUGUUAGAGCCCUGUGUAGGGGACUGAUGGCAGAGGAGACUUUAAACAAGCAGGGACCCUAGAUAUCGUGCACCCAAUCUGGAUUCCUACCGAUGGAGAUGCACUGAAGUGUGGGGAAGGGAAGUAGUCAUGCCUGAGCUUCAGUUAGUGGCUUUGGGCAGUCGUGGGCUGAGUCAGAAAUACCAGUUAGGAAUAGAUUACAAGAGUCUGGGCAAGAGAUGGUGAGGGCAUCCAUUGAACUGAGGCCGUGUAGUUGGAGAGAAGAGAGAGUAAGGGAGGAGGCCAACCAAGGUUUCUGACCAAGAUGGCCUGAUGUCAUUCAUGAAGCUAGGAAAUGUGGAAUAGGGUGCAUAAUGAGCACGGGCGAGCUGGUCCAAGUUCAUGGUAUAUCCAAUGGAAGGUGUCCAGAAAGCAGGUGGCUAUUCUAACCCAGGGGCCAGGAGGGAGCUCUGGGCUAGAUUCAGAUUGGGUAACUUUAGCCUCUGGUUGUAGCUAUGGGAGCGCUUAAGAUCACCUAGGGAAGGCGGAUUGGGUGGGAAGACCAAAGCUUUGGAGAUGCCAACAUUGAGGACCACGGGCUGAGGGGGAGGGAGACUGAGAAGGAGUGGUGGGGCCAGAAGAAAGAGUCUAGUCAACAUAUAACCAUCACAGGCUUGCUUCUUUGGACACUGAGAGCCUCAAGGCCGUUGACCUCGAACAGUUGACCACAACUUGUUUCAGUUGUGACUAUUAAAUGAGGUAGAGUAUGGCACUCCCUCGACCUGAUGUUAGGCUGAAAGCUUGAAAAAUAAUAGCUAUUGUUUUUAAUUCAACAAAUUAUUGAGCACCUACUAUCUGCAAAGCAGACAAAGUCUAUAGAGACCUACGCUCCAGCUUCGGGAAACUUAGGGUCUAGGGGCUGACAGUCUGCCAUCUGCUAGCAGAGCGCAGCUGCUGUUCAGCCCCGAGGAACAUUUCUAGUUGGUCUUGGGCUUCUGCGGUAGGAUGGGAGCCCAGAUGUCCCCAGUGCACUGUGCCAAUGCCACUUCUCCAAAUCUUGAGGCACUGCUGUCAAUCAUCGCUCAGCUUACAAACCUGGUAUCUGGGAUAACUGUUGAGUGCCCGCUGUGAUGACGCGCUGCGCUGAGUUUCAUGGGACGGUCCGCUAGAGCAGAAAUCUCAACCCCGACAGAACAGAGCAAAGAGCUGGUAGAGAGGAAAGAAACCUGGUCUGGGGCUCAGAAUGUUCCGGCUGAGGGCUUGGCUGCACCCCACAUCUGCCGAGUGACCUUAGGCAAGUCCGUUUUCCUUCCUUAGCUUUGGCGCCCUCAUUGGUAGAAGGGGGUCAUAAAAACAUCUAUUGAUUUUUACCUUUGGGCCAGAUAUAAGGAGCGGUGAGAAUCCGAUGUUUGGAUCAUGGAAACUGUCCUUGCUCGAAAGGCUUGUGUGCUACAGGUAAGUGAAAAGACAGGCAGCCAGCCAUACCCAGCACACGGUGGGCACGCUCAGAGACAGCACAGAAACUUCUCUCUGCUAAGGAAACCCGAGGGGCUCUGCUCAGGGCUCCCCCUCUUACACAAAAAUCCUCUCGUCUCUGGCCUUUCAUUUUGCCAAGAGAGUCCAGGUAAUUGCACG
rnacentral:lncRNA from 1 species